UGCUUGGCUGGGUUUUCCUUGUUGCUCUUUUAAAAGGUGUCCAGUGUGACGUGCAGCUGAUGGAGUCUGGGGGAGACCUGGUGAAGCCUGGGGGGUCCCUGAGACUCACCUGUGUGGCCUCUGGAUUCACAUUCAGUAGCUACUACAUGAACUGGGUUCGCCAGGCUCCAGGAAAGGGGCUGCAGUGGGUCGCACGCAUUUAUGAUGAUGGAAGUAGCACAAGCUACACAGACUCCGUGAAGGGUCGAUUCACCAUCUCCAGAGACAAGGCCAAGAACACGCUGUAUCUGCAGAUGAACAGCCUGAAGACCGAGGACACGGCUACAUAUUACUGUGCAAGAGACAUGGUGAGCGGACCUCACUGGGAGCCCACACACAAACCUCCCUGCAGGAGGGGAUCAGCACCACCAGGGGGCGCACACUAUGCACAACUCUGGUUUGUGUUCCCAGGAGCAGGUGCAGAUGGAGGUUACAGGCAGGUUUCCUGUCAAGGUCUGGGGCUUCCUUUCCACAUAGCAGUUUCUCUAGG